AUGGAGCACCCUGUUUUUCUUGAACGAUCCGCAGAAGAGAGCCUGGACGCGGCGCCGUACAAGCUGCGGCGGCGGAACUCGGAGACGAUGCGCGCACAGUACAUCAACACCAAGGAGCUCAGGAUCUGCAUUGGCACGUACAACGCCGCCGGCAUAGAGCCACCGGAAGGCCUCGACAUCGCCGAGUGGCUCGGCACCACCGGCGGCGGGCAGGCCGACAUGUACGUGCUCAGCUUCCAGGACGACCGGCCGGCGUUGGCGUGGGAGGCGCUCAUCCGCGACAUGCUCACGCGGACGCAACCGUCCUGCUCGAGGCCUAACUACUGCUUCCCGGUGCACCCCGAGGAGUACGUCGUUGCCACCCCCAGGAUGCUCGGGGCCAUGGAGGACGAGCAGCCAAGGGCGCAGCAGAGGGCGCUCCUUAAGACGAUGAGCAAGACGGACAGGAUCGGGCUCGCCUGGCCGGAGCAGCCGCUGGACCUGAUGGUCACCGCGUCCUUGUCAUCGGCGUUGUUCAAGUCGCCGAGAUCGUUCGGCGCGCACAGGUCAUUCAUGAAGUCCAGGGUCGCCGCCGACGACUGCCCUGCCAUGGUCCCAGACCUGGACCCCGACCUCGACGGCGAGGCGCGCGUGGUCAUGGCAAGAAGAAGGGCCGCGGCAGGUCGCCGUUCGCGCGUCCAGAACAUCAAGGUGUCCGCCGUGGGCGUGGGCGCCAUGGGCUACAUCGGCGACAAGGGGUCGGUGUCGGCGACGGCGAGCAUGUUCUGCUUCGUGUGCACCCACCUGUCCGCCGGCGAGCGGCCCGGCAACCUCCUCAAGCGGAACGCCGACGUGCAGGAGAUCCACCGGCGGACGCGCUUCGGCGGCCUCGAGCUGUCCCGAGACAUCUACGAACACGAACAUGUUCUUCCGCAGGAGGAUUUCCUGGCUGGGCGAUCUGAACUACCGGAUCGACGUGCCGUAAGACAGAACCCACAGCCUGAUCGCCGCCAUGGACUGGCCUCAGCUAGCCGAGAAAGAUCAGCUGAAGCGGGAGAUGAGGAAGGGGCGGGCGUUCGACGGGUGGGGCGAGGGAGUGCUGUGCUGGAGUUCGCGCCGACGUACAAGUACGAGAUCGGGACGGGGAAGUACACCAGCGACGACCAGAAGGGCGGGAGGAGGACGCCGGCGUGGUGCUGUCGUUCGGGAAGAAGGACGUCGGAGCUGACGCUGUCGGACGACCACAAGCCGGUGACGGCAACGUACGCGGCAGAGGUGGAGGUGGAGCUGCUCUGCGGGAGGAAGAUGCAGAGGGCGCUCACGCUCAUGGACGGCCGAGAUGGAACGUGGUCGUGCAGGACCUCCAUUUUUCAGAAGUUCAGAAGCUGA
rnacentral:rRNA from 1 species